ACGGUAACUUUCGGACGGGAAACUUGCGUGUCCCCGAAUUCAUAUUGGACCAGUGCAAUUCCUGUCUAAGUCCUUUUUAUUCAUGCAUGAUACCAGCAUUAAAGGAAAAUACAUUAUCAUCAUUGAUCAGUUUAUUUACAUUAGUUUUCCCCCUAAGUUCUCUUACCGGCUAGAACUUCUGAACUUUGUGUCACGCAGUUCUGAAUUAAGAGCAAGUUGCACGAUGUAUAUACAAUGUAUAUACAAUGAUGUAUAUACCAUAAUCGUUCCAGGAAAGAGAUAAAGAAUCGGAGGACAUGAUGCUGAUAUGUGAAACCACAAACAAAAAGAACUGUCCAGGUAAAGGCUACUACCAUCAGGAGUGCCUAGGAAUUGAAAGAGUACCUAAAGGAAAGUGGCUGUGCGACUUCUGCAAACAGAAAUCU